rnacentral:rRNA from 1 species
GUUAAGCGACUAAGCGUACACGGUGGAUGCCCUGGCAGUCAGAGGCGAUGAAGGACGUGCUAAUCUGCGAUAAGCGUCGGUAAGGUGAUAUGAACCGUUAUAACCGGCGAUUUCCGAAUGGGGAAACCCAGUGUGUUUCGACACACUAUCAUUAACUGAAUCCAUAGGUUAAUGAGGCGAACCGGGGGAACUGAAACAUCUAAGUACCCCGAGGAAAAGAAAUCAACCGAGAUUCCCCCAGUAGCGGCGAGCGAACGGGGAGCAGCCCAGAGCCUGAAUCAGUGUGUGUGUUAGUGGAAGCGUCUGGAAAGGCGCGCGAUACAGGGUGACAGCCCCGUACACAAAAAUGCACAUGCUGUGAGCUCGAUGAGUAGGGCGGGACACGUGGUAUCCUGUCUGAAUAUGGGGGGACCAUCCUCCAAGGCUAAAUACUCCUGACUGACCGAUAGUGAACCAGUACCGUGAGGGAAAGGCGAAAAGAACCCCGGCGAGGGGAGUGAAAAAGAACCUGAAACCGUGUACGUACAAGCAGUGGGAGCACGCUUAGGCGUGUGACUGCGUACCUUUUGUAUAAUGGGUCAGCGACUUAUAUUCUGUAGCAAGGUUAACCGAAUAGGGGAGCCGAAGGGAAACCGAGUCUUAACUGGGCGUUAAGUUGCAGGGUAUAGACCCGAAACCCGGUGAUCUAGCCAUGGGCAGGUUGAAGGUUGGGUAACACUAACUGGAGGACCGAACCGACUAAUGUUGAAAAAUUAGCGGAUGACUUGUGGCUGGGGGUGAAAGGCCAAUCAAACCGGGAGAUAGCUGGUUCUCCCCGAAAGCUAUUUAGGUAGCGCCUCGUGAAUUCAUCUCCGGGGGUAGAGCACUGUUUCGGCAAGGGGGUCAUCCCGACUUACCAACCCGAUGCAAACUGCGAAUACCGGAGAAUGUUAUCACGGGAGACACACGGCGGGUGCUAACGUCCGUCGUGAAGAGGGAAACAACCCAGACCGCCAGCUAAGGUCCCAAAGUCAUGGUUAAGUGGGAAACGAUGUGGGAAGGCCCAGACAGCCAGGAUGUUGGCUUAGAAGCAGCCAUCAUUUAAAGAAAGCGUAAUAGCUCACUGGUCGAGUCGGCCUGCGCGGAAGAUGUAACGGGGCUAAACCAUGCACCGAAGCUGCGGCAGCGACGCUGAUGCGUUGUUGGGUAGGGGAGCGUUCUGUAAGCCUGCGAAGGUGUGCUGUGAGGCAUGCUGGAGGUAUCAGAAGUGCGAAUGCUGACAUAAGUAACGAUAAAGCGGGUGAAAAGCCCGCUCGCCGGAAGACCAAGGGUUCCUGUCCAACGUUAAUCGGGGCAGGGUGAGUCGACCCCUAAGGCGAGGCCGAAAGGCGUAGUCGAUGGGAAACAGGUUAAUAUUCCUGUACUUGGUGUUACUGCGAAGGGGGGACGGAGAAGGCUAUG